CUCAGUCUCAAAUAAACUGUCAGGUACCCUCCUAAUCUCAGUCUCAAAUAAACUGUCAGGUACCCUCCUAAUCUCAGUCUCAAAUAAACUGUCAGGUACCCUCCUAAUCUCAGUCUCAAAUAAACUGUCAGGUACCCUCCUAAUCUCAGUCUCAAAUAAACUGUCAGGUACCCUCCUAAUCUCAGUCUCAAAUAAACUGUCAGGUACCCUCCUAAUCUCAGUCUCAAAUAAACUGUCAGGUACCCUCCUAAUCUCAGUCUCAAAUAAACUGUCAGGUACCCUCCUAAUAUCAAUCUCGGGUAGGUUGGUUGGUACCCUCCUAAUCUCAGUCUCAGAUAGACGACAUGCCAAUUGUACAUGACAGUUCAGGUAGCUGCAUGCAUUGGGCACUUCAGUUGCAUUGUGGGAUAGUUGAUAUCCUACUGUGAACACAGGGUGUUUUUGAACAUGUUGUGUUUGAGUCCGGGUCAAUAUGGCAAUUCACUGGGAAGGCAGGGACUGUGACUGGGUCUCUUUAUUGUCAGGUCGGGCUGUAGUUUUUGAUAGGGUGACUAGUGUAGUAUGCGUUCUGCUGUAUAGUCAUGUUUAUCUGUUACAACACGGGUAGUUAAUUAAUUAGUUAGAACAUUGUAAAUACACUUUUUCUUGG